rnacentral:pre_miRNA from 1 species
AACAUACUCCCUCUGUCCGGAAAUACUUGUCAUUGAAAUGGAUGUAUUUAGAUGUAUUUUAGUUGUAGAUACAUUCAUUUUCAUCCAUUUCGAUGACAAGUAUUUUCGGACGAAGGGAGUAAGUG